UUGAUACAAAUAACUUUAACAUUACCCAGACAUAAAUACACUCGUGAUAACCAAUAACGGUUGGAUGUUAAACAACAAGUGCAAUCACAAUAAUUAAAUACAUGGAUCAAACAUGGAGAUAUUUCAAAAUGGAAGGAUGAACUGAAGACAAUUUGUUGAAGCUGUUUUUAGUGAUUAGUUUAGACACAAAAAGCCUCAAAUAUUUAUUGAGAUGGACAAGAAAAAGGGAUCCUCAUCAUACUAUAACGUGCAACAGAAAGAUGACAUCAGUGAUGAUGCAAAUCCGUUCAACGAUGACCCAGAUCGUGUACAUAGAUACAGUAUUAGAAAAGCAUCCAGAGCAGAAAAUACAUCGAUCGCCAUAUCGACCCUUCCGAUAUCAACCUUUGUUCCCGAUUAUAUGAAUCUCGCAAUAUUCGCCACUAUAUGUUGUUGCUUGCCAAUGGGCAUUUUCGCUAUAAGGAGAAAUAAGGAGGCACGACGUCUAAAAGAAAGUGGAGAUAUUCUUGGUGCCCAGAAAAAAGCUGCCUCGGCGAAACGAUUGAGUAUCUGGGGAAUGGUUUUAGGAUUUAUAUUUCUGGGUGUCGUGAUUGGCGUGGGUGUUGGUAUUUAUCUUGAUCAUAAACAUAUUCCACAUCACUACUAUGGUCGGUAACCAUAACAAUAUUCCACAUCACUACUAUGGUCGGUAACCAUAGCAAUAUUCCAUAUCACCGAUUACUUUUAUUCCACAUCAUAGUUAUUGUUGAUAAUGAUGGCAAUAUAUAGUUGGUAACCAUAGCAAUAUUCCACAACAUUAUUAUGGUUAAUGAUUAUAGGGUUGAUUUGAUAUUGAUUGUUAUAUUCCACAUCAUUACUAAUGUUGAUAAUUAUAGUAAUAUUCCACAUCAUCAUUAGGGUCAAUAAUUAUAGCAAUAUUCCACAUCGUUAUUAGGGUCGAUAUUUAUAGCAAUAUUCCACAUCGUUAUUAGGGUUGAUAAUUAUAGCAAUAUUCCACAUCAUCAUUAGGGUCAAUAAUUAUAGCAAUAUUUCACCUCGUCAUUAGGGUCGAUAAAUAUUCCACAUCAUUAUUAAGGUCGAUAAUUAUAGCAAUAUUCCACAUCAUUAUUUGGGUCGAUAAAUAUACCAAUAUGGUUUAAAAGUCCAUAUCAUUUAUGACUGACAAUUACAUCGUUUGAAGAAGAAUGACCAAUUAAAAUGAAUGUAUUUAAAUAUUGGUUUAAAAAGAUGCGUGUGUGUUUUUUUGUCAUGAAAUAAAAGUAUGAUCUCAGAGAAAUGUAAUUUAACUUGCCUUUGUAAUAGAAUUAGUAAUGAUUACAUGGAUCUAAAUUUAAUUGGUCCACUGACUUGUUCAAUCUGAUUAAAAUACAGAUCUAUA